rnacentral:rRNA from 1 species
AUACGUAGGGUGCAAGCGUUAAUCGGAAUUACUGGGCGUAAAGCGUGCGCAGGCCGUUUUGUAAGACAGUGGUGAAAUCCCCGGGCUCAACCUGGGAACUGCCAUUGUGACUGCAAGGCUGGAGUGCGGCAGAGGGGGAUGGAAUUCCGCGUGUAGCAGUGAAAUGCGUAGAUAUGCGGAGGAACACCGAUGGCGAAGGCAGUCCCCUGGGCCUGCACUGACGCUCAUGCACGAAAGCGGGGGGAGCAAACAGGAUUAGAUGCCCUGGUAGUCCACGCCCUAAACGAUGUCAACUGGUUGUUGGGGAUCUAUUUUCUCAGUAACGAAGCUAACGCGUGAAGUUGACCGCCUGGGGAGUACGGCCGCAAGGUUGAAACUCAAAUGAAUUGGCGGGG